rnacentral:misc_RNA from 1 species
AAAUGCGAUAAGUAGUGUGCAUUGCAGAAUUCAGUGAAUCAUCGAAUCUUUGAACGCACAUUGCGCCCCUUGGUAUUCCAUGGGGCAUGCCUGUUCGAGCGUCAUCUACACCCUCAAGCUCUGCUUGGUGUUGGGCGUCUUUGUCCCGCCUCUGCGCGCGGACUCGCCCCAAAUUCAUUGGCAGCGGUCCUUGCCUCCUCUCGCGCAGCACAUUGCGCUUCUCGAGGUGUUGCGGCCCGCGUCCAGAAAGCAAUCGUUACCGUCUUUGACCUCGGAUCAGGUAGGGAUACCCGCUGAACUUAAGC